AGAAUGUAAGUACCAGUAAGGCAAGUGAGACAAGCCGUUGGUGAUGGAGUCGGCCUGGUCUAGUUGCCGUGAGAGGCAGGCAUCAUAAAAUUUUCAGAAAUCAACAAAGCAUUCAGAAAUUUGACAGGACAACUGGUCUUGGACAUUAAUCUUGUAUAGCCUGCAAACAUAACUGGAUCCAGGCAACUACUACUGCAUGCAUCCUGGCAACUGCCAUUAUAUUCUGCUUUUCAUAAAGGUAUAAGAAGUCUGAUUGCUUGGAAAAACAUGUCACAGUCUCAGUCUUGCUGUGAGCCUUCCAACCUGUGCCUAGGCGAAGAUUCACUUCUCACCGGCCCUAUCAGCUAACCUUGUCCGGCAUAUCCAUGGACUCUGCUCCACGGGGUCACUUACUCAAUGAUGUCACAUCUCCUGCUGUCAGUGAGCACUGGUGAAGGUCCAGGACUUCCAGAUGCUUCAGUGAUGCCAGCUGAGCAGGCACAUCCUCAAAGCCUCCACCCAGUUCCUUGUUGCAGGAGAGGUCCAGUAUCCUCAGCACAUCCAAGGAUGCAAAGACACCAUCUGCAAAGCAGGUCCCAACCCAGGGCCUGAAAUUCAUAUUGGUUUCUAUUCCUGCACAAACAUCAGGACCAAGAAGCAAGUUGGGGAGGAAAGGGUUUAUUCGGCUUACUCUUCCACAUUGCUGUUCAUCACCAAAGGAAGUCAGGACUGGAACUCAAGCAGGUCAGGAAGCAGGAGCUNNNNNNNNNNNNNNNNNNNUACCAGCCCAGAGAUGGUCCCACCCACAAGGGGCCUUUCCCCCUUGAUCACUAAUUGAGAAAAUGCCUUAAAGUUGGAUCUCAUGGAGGCAUUUCCCCAACUGAAGCUCCUUUCUCUGUGAUAACUCCAGCCUGUGUUAAGUUGACACACAAAACCAGCCAGUACACUUUUCUUUUGUGUUUUUCUUUCUUUUUUGGUAAUAAUGAAAGUGUAUGGUUACUGUGAAAGAUUUUUUUUUUAAAUGAAUAAGCCUAGCUAGCACUAAAGCCCUGGGUUCAAUUCCCAUCUCUGAAGCAAAUAAAUAGAACAAAGAAUAUUCAAAUUUAUAUGUUCUAAUAGGUUUUUAAUAAUGUAUAUGCUGUAUAUUUAUGCUAUAUAAUAUAUCUGAAAACAUUUCACUGAUGUCUAUUGUGUGUGGGUAUGUGUGAGUGAUACCCACUUGGAGACACCCCGUGAGCCAUCUCGCCAACCCUGAUAUAUGCUGCAUAUUAUACUUUACAUGAUCUUGACCUUAACCACUGUUAACUCACCCAGUAGUCUGAUGCUCUUUUGGGAUAAUCCACAGGAACGCAACUUCAGUUCCUUUAGGCCUGAUGCACUUCUUAAUCCUUGCGCUAUGACCUCUAGACAGCUGCCAAUAUUUCUGUUGUUGGAAAGGUCAAAUACUUGGAGGCUCUGCAGCUUGGGUAGCAAGUGACCUGGAAGGGAAUAAAUCCAAACAGGAAGUGCAUCCAUGCAGAAGUCAGGGGGCAAGCAGGAGGUCUACUGCAGCUUUCUGUGCCUCGGAGACAGAGCAUCCAGGAGCUUCCCGGCUGCCAAUCACAGGCUUCUGCAGAGAGUCUCUUGUGUACUGUAUGGUUACAUCACUUGUCAAUAAAAACAAAACAAACAAAAACCUAUGGCCUGUAGGAAAGGGUAGAAUAGAAGGCGGGAUAUCCGGUAGGCAAAGAGGAUUUUGGGCUAGAACCAAGCACGGAGGAUUAGGGUCCCAGACAUAGAAGACAGUCAUAUGUAGCUGAGGACCAAGUAAACUGCCAUGAAUAGAAUAAUGGGAUAAUUAAAUUAUAAACCAGUUGGGGAACAUGCCUAGCUAUAUGGCCUAGGUAUUUAUAAAUAUAUUUGACUCUCAGAGUCAUUACUUCCGGGAGCUUGGAACUGGAGGAAAAAACACGCUUAAAGAAAACGCACUCCAGGCAACUUUCCUAUGUUUUUCUGGGACAAAUUCCUCCAAUUCCACUUACCCACAAACACUCCGUCCUGUGACGUGAGGGCACAGUCCACAAGUUCAAGUGUUCGAAUCUUGCUCCCUUGUUGGAAUGUGUGGAGAACCCGAGGCAACUUCCCUCCCACCUGGCUGUUCCACGACAGACUUAGUUCUUCGAGUUCAGGUGUCAUUUCAAGGGCACCUCCUAGUACAAAAUGUUCAGAAAGAAAGAGAUGUCAGUCAUUCACGAUCAGAACAGCCAGUAUUUGGGGCGUAUAAAAGCUGGGGCAGACACUGUGUUAGCCGAUGAGGAGCGAGGAGAAGAAAGGGACCCAGUUCCUGCCCCUAACAAUAGUUUGGUAAGCGCUUGGGAAAAUAGUAUGAGUUUUCACAAAUUUUUUCUCUUUCUUUCUUUCUUUGUGUGUGUGUGUGUGUGUGUAGUUUAACUUAAUUAAAUUGAGGCUUUAGUUGUAGUUGAGAGUUAAGACAAAUUUUAGUUUAAAAAAAGCCCCUCGUUUUCAUGAAUUUUCAAAGGUGGAUUAGAAAAAUGAAGGCGGUAUUAUUUUGUAGUUUAAAAACAGGUUAACUGCUCUCUACUGCAGUUCUUCUGAUUUAUAGAUGAGGGCCUAAGACCCAACGUGAGCUGGCUUUACAACAGCCACACUGAAGAGCCACACAAGCAAGGUGCCUGGUCAGCGGUGCCUCUGCCCUCGUCCUUAUCCACAGAGCUCAGCACAAGCUGGAGUCUAAGGCACAGGGCGUUUCAGCUCAUUCGAUGCCUCAUGGGAGCACCAUUUCCCAGAAUGCACUUGGUCAUUUGCACUCGAAGAGACAACAUUUGCCCUAGAGGGAUCAGCUUGGAAAGAUGCUUCGAGGGAAGACAUGUUUUCUGUUUUCACUUCUAAGCUUUUAAUAUGUAUGUGUAUAUACAAUAUGUACAUACACAUACAUAUAUACAAUAUGUAUGUAUGUUUGCCCAGUUGUGCACAUAAACAGGAAGCUAUAGAAUAACCUCUAGUUUGGUCCUUCAGGUGCCUCUGUCCUCAGUUCAUUCGUUCAUUUGUUUGUUUUGAAAAGGGUCUUCCCUGGCCCAGAGCUUGCUGAGUGGGCCGGCUGGCUAGCAGGCCCCGGGGAUCUGCCUGUCUCUGCCUCCCUGGCCUUGAGAUUCUCAGUCUGUGCUGCCAUAUUUAGCUUACAUGCAUUCUGAAGUUCAAAAUCGGGUCCUCGUGUUUACAAGAAAAGCUUCUUAUGAGCUGAGCCAUCUCCCCAGCCCCUGUCUAAACUUAUCUUUCAAGCUGGUAUAUACAAAGAGCAGUCACGUUUGAGGGGAGGGGGUCACCAUACCCAGUGUUUGAACGUCCUCAGUGGUUAGUCUGCAGCUACUCAGCCUCAGGACUUUUAACUUGUUGACAGGAUGCAUUUGCUGAGUGAGCAUGUGGAGGGCCCCCCUGGCAAAAUCGUUCCAGGAAACGUCCAGUUCUUCCAAGUCUGAGAGGAGAGGCAGGAUUGAAGCUAAAGUGGGCAGAAGAGGAUGCAGACCUGUGUGUGUGUGAUUCGUGAUUUGUAACAGAGCUCAGUGCCUACGUGCACAGGGGGGUAGUUUGGGAUUAUAUGAAACCACAGUGGGUAGGCACGUUGGCAUUUAGCAAAGCAGUGGUCUCUUGCUAGCAAGUGAGGAAAUGACCCCAUUUGCAUUUCCUGUUUCUUGGGAUAUUUUCUAUUUCUGUAAAAAAACAACAACAAAAACAAAAACAAACAAACAAACAAAAGCACCCUGUAAACACAAAGCUAUCUUCCCAGGAUUCUAUAGAACUGUCUAUGUCGUUAUUGACCCCUGUGGCAGAAUGGGCAACUCUGUUUCUGCUGCCAGGACUGCAACUGUUACUGCUCCCUCUGCCCGACAUCCCCCUUUGCUCUAACGGGCUUUCAGUCUGAAACCUGGCUGAUGCUCCAGGGCCAGGUCAGCAGAGCCUGGGAAAGUCUGCACAUCUUCCUCAUCCUGACCCUCCCUUCCCAGCCAUCACUACCUUACAUGCAUUGACUAUUACUCACUUUGAGACAGGAUCUCACUGUGCAGCCCUGGCUGGCCUGAAAUUGACUGUGUAUCACAGAAGUCCAUCUGCGUCUGCCUCCAGGGCGCCAGGAUGUUUGCCUCCACCACACCUGGUGCUAUCUUAUACUUAGACAUCGAUGUGGAAGUUUUGCGAAUAAACCUUGAUGAGUCUCUAUCGGAGCUUGUUAAAAAGUAAAGCUACCCUCCGUGGGAAAAUUCUCAAAAAUCUCCUCUAUCUUCAGGACCAGCAAGGGUGGAGAUGGCCACGUGGAGGAGGCAAGGCAUGCUUGCAUGCUGCAGGAGCCUGUCCUCAGUCACCCUGGAAAGCUACCCAGAGGGCUUCUGUGAUUUCAGGUCACAUAGUCUGGAGUCACAAGUUCUGAAACCACAACUCUGGCAAAAACCUCUUUCUUCUAGCAGUGCUUCUAGCAAAUCAUUUCAGCCACUGCAUCUUAUUCACCAUGACCAGACUUUGUAAAGGAUAAACCACUGACUACACCC
ensembl:antisense Gm15462 predicted gene 15462